rnacentral:rRNA from 1 species
UACGGGGGGGGUAAGCGUUGUUCGGAAUUACUGGGCGUAAAGGGCUCGUAGGCGGCCAACUAAGUCAGACGUGAAAUCCCUCAGCUUAACUGGGGAACUGCGUCUGAUACUGGAUGGCUUGAAUCCGGGAGAGGGAGGCAGAAUUCCAGGUGUAGCGGUGAAAUUCGUAGAUAUCGGGAGGAACACCGGUGGCGAAGGCGGCGACCUGGGUAGAAACUGACGCUGAGGUACGAAAGCGUGGGGAGCAAACAGG